rnacentral:rRNA from 1 species
UACGGAGGGUGCAAGCGUUGUCCGGAUUUAUUGGGUUUAAAGGGUGCGUAGGCGGCCCGUUAAGUCAGUGGUGAAAGCCUCCAGCUCAACUGGAGAACUGCCAUUGAUACUGGCGGGCUUGAGUACAGACGAGGUAGGCGGAAUUGAUUGUGUAGCGGUGAAAUGCAUAGAUACAAUCAAGGACACCGAUUGCGUAGGCAGCUUACUAGGCUGUAACUGACGCUGAGGCACGAAAGCGUGGGGAGCGAACAGG